UACGUAGGGGGCUAGCGUUGCUCGGAAUUACUGGGCGUAAAGCGCACGUAGGCGGAUCUUUAAGUCAGGGGUGAAAUCCUGGAGCUCAACUCCAGAACUGCCUUUGAUACUGAGGAUCUUGAGUUCGGGAGAGGUGAGUGGAACUGCGAGUGUAGAGGUGAAAUUCGUAGAUAUUCGCAAGAACACCAGUGGCGAAGGCGGCUCACUGGCCCGAUACUGACGCUGAGGUGCGAAAGCGUGGGGAGCAAACAGG
rnacentral:rRNA from 1 species